rnacentral:rRNA from 1 species
UACGAAGGGGGCUAGCGUUGCUCGGAAUCACUGGGCGUAAAGGGUGCGUAGGCGGGUCUUUAAGUCAGGGGUGAAAUCCUGGAGCUCAACUCCAGAACUGCCUUUGAUACUGAAGAUCUUGAGUUCGGGAGAGGUGAGUGGAACUGCGAGUGUAGAGGUGAAAUUCGUAGAUAUUCGCAAGAACACCCGUGGCUAAGGCGGCUCUCUAGUACGGUACUGACGCUGAGACGCGAAAGCGUGGGAAGCGAACAGG